rnacentral:rRNA from 1 species
GACGGAAGGUGCAAGCGUUGCUCGGAAUCACUGGGCGUAAAGGGUGCGUAGGCGGCUUGGUAGGUCUGGUGUGAAAGCCCCGGGCUCAGCCCGGGAAGGGCACUAGAAACUGCCAAGCUAGAGUGCCGGAGGGGAGAGUGGAAUUCCUGGUGGUAGCGGUGAAAUGCGUAGAGAUCAGGAGGAAUACCGGUGGCGAAAGCGACUCUCUGGACGGCAACUGACGCUGAGGCACGAAAGCGUGGGGAGCAAACAGG